CAACCACCUUCACCUUUGGACCCUGGACCCUUUUGGAGAUGCCCAAAUCCAGCUGCCGGCCCCUCCCUCAAGCCUAAGGGUCCUCGCCCUCAGUCCCCUCCUCCCUCAGACCCAGGCAAAGUUAAACACAGGCACCUCCCACCCCGGGGAACUUUGUCCCCAGCCCUGAAAUCAGCUCAGACAGAAGACAACCGACUGAGGGAAAGUGCACAGCCUGGCAGGAAAGCAGCUGGGUCAUGAGGUUCGGGCCACCACAACAGCGGACGUAGCCUGCUCCUGCCCUGUGCGCUGGGUGAGCGGACGUGAGCAUGAAUGGCAGCAGCCACUGGUCAGUAGGUGAGUCCUGGGGAAAUGGGGGGUGCUGGGCUGCCAGGUCCUAAAGUCUGGGCCCUGAAGUCAGAGGAGUGGGGCUGGAGAGCGUGGGCCCAAGAGCGGCCGGCCGAGCAGGGUGUGGGUCUGCAUCGUGGCCUCUAGGUGGCGCUGCGUUGCCCACACAAGUCUGUGGCCACGCUUCUGUCCCGGAGGGAACCGGGCUGCACAGCAUGGAGACAGCAUGGCCACCCAUGGUGGAGACAGAGGUAUCCGGGCAGGAGAGUGGCCCUCAGAAGGAGCCACAUGGAGAAAAACAAAAAAAAAAAAAAAAAAAAAAGAGGGAAGAGCAAGAAUGAGAAAGAGACAGAUGGAAACAGAAAACAAAACUCAGGGGCCGCCUGGCUGGCUCGGCCGGAGGAACGUGGGACUCUUGAUCGCGGGUUGGUGAGCUGGAGGGUUGAGCCUCGCGCUGGGUGGAGAGAUUACUUACACAUAAAGCCUUUCAAAAGACACACUGAAGACAAAACUGAGAAGAGCAAGAAAUCAGGAACAAGAGAUGCCAAAAGAGAUUCGAUCAUAAAGACAGACCGAUACGAGAGACAGAUAGGGAGACAAACUCACGUCAAGUCAAGUCUGGAGAAAUCCAGAAAAAUUCCGAGGGCGAGAUAUAGAGAAGCUGAGGGAAGGAGGAAGAAGUGGACAGAGACCAGGCUUCAGGUGACAGACAGCACAAAGUGAAAGAAGACCAGGGGAAGCGAGCAAAGCCGACACCAGGAAACAAGCUGUCUCGGUGAUAUUUACAGACAGAGAUACCCAGGAGAUAGAGAUAUCUCUACCUCUCCCACAGGGCACAGAGAAGGGGCCGGACAGUGUCCAGAUUAUAAAUCUGCACUGGCCAUCAAGACCCUGUUGUCCUGAGAGAAGCUGUCUUCGUCUUCCCAGGACAUUUCUGCAGGCACAGGGGGCUCAGCUCAGCUCAGGGAAGGUGCUCCACCUUCUGACACCCCACGCCACGGGGAUCGGACCCAAGGGAUACCCUCAGAUGCCUCGUGCUCCCUGCCACGGGGCCCCCUCCUCCUCGGGGCCCCGCAGCGGAACCCGAGCACCGAGGGAGCGGCGCAAAGCCGGACGAGCCGGGAGCUGGUGGGCCUCCCGGAAGUGGGCCUCCCGGAGGGGUUUCCCCCAGCCUCUCUCCCCACCCAACCCUGCCCCGGCCCGGGGCCGCGAACCCACCUGCCCCAGCGCGGGUGCGGCCAUGGUCGGUGCGGCGGGCAAACUGUACCCGCCCGGGGCGCCGCCCAGAAGAAAGACGUUCCGGCCCCGCCCCGCUCACGCCCCCCGACGCGGGAGGGCCCCUCCUCUGACACCCCAGGCCGGCCGGGCCUCCCCGACUAUGGGGCGCCCAUGGGGAGCUGGGCCCUGCUGGAGAGCGCAUGCGCUGGAAUCCGCGAGGCGAAGGGGAGUCCAUUGAAAUACGCCCUCCUCCCCACCCCCACCCAGCUUCUGUUCCAGCCACGCAACCGCUGUACCAGAACGUACAUGGAAGUUUUGUUUCUGUUCGUUCUUUUGCUUUCAUGCAAAAGUACUGUCGCGGCACGCUAACGAGGAUAAGCAGUUCGAGGUGAGAGAGGAAAGGCCAGGAACAGAAAGAAACCUCCGCAUAUCUCGAUCCCUGGGUGAUAAGGAAAAGCUCUCGCUGUAAACGUCUGUAAAUAGAUCACGUAAAUGAGAAAGGACUUGGGAAAAAGGCCUCGGAAGAGGGUAGCAGGUAGGGAUGAAUGAGGGGGUUGCAAUCAACCCCUAUUUUUUUUUUCAAGAAAAUUUUAACGUUUAUUUAUUUUU